rnacentral:rRNA from 1 species
UACAGAGGCGGCAAGCGUUGUUCGGAAUUACUGGGCGUAAAGGGCGCGUAGGCGGCCUUCUAAGUCGGACGUGAAAGCCCCAGGCUUAACCUGGGAACUGCGUCCGAUACUGGGAGGCUUGGAUUCGGGAGAGGGAUGUGGAAUUCCAGGUGUAGCGGUGAAAUGCGUAGAUAUCUGGAGGAACACCGGUGGCGAAGGCGGUUCUCUGGGCCUUACCUGGCGCUGAGGAGCGAAAGCGUGGGGAGCGAACAGG